UGGGAGUUGAUCAUUCAGUAAUCAACAAUGUCGACUCAUGCAUUGCGUUUUUCUGUUACUACUUGUAUUUAUUCCUGGUAUAUGUCUUUCUCGCAACUGUGUAUCAAGUUGGUCUGCUGAACAUUGACGGAUUCUACGAUCAACUGGUGCAUCAUACUUGUUUUCCUUCAAAGUUUUCCGGAAUAUUAUUAUUUUUGUGUGCAACUUAUCUUAGAGUGACCAUGUAUGUCAGUAUACUCAAGUAACUGAAUGUAUUCACGUUAACUCUGUUAAGUACUAGUAGAUUCAGAAAUUUAGUUCAUAGAAUUAUUGGUAGGAGCAGUAAACGAGUCAAACAAAAAUAUCCAUAUGCAAAUGUCGGUCUAUGUUUGAUUCAAUUUGGUUUGCUCUGCUACUGAAGCUCCUAUCCGGUCUAAUGUUUUUUGUUUUGUCUCUUUUUCUGUUGCUAGGAAUGUGAUAAGAAGAUGUCGAUGAUGCCUACUGGGGACAUUCAAAUCAAGACAACAUAAAAAUUUCUGAACCUAUGUCUCAUAGGAGAGUGGAAUGAACUCCAUUGUUAGCAGAUGUGUCAUUGUUUUAUUUUGCAAUUCUGUCCGUUCUUGCUAUAUUCCUAUGUAAGGAAAUGUAUUUAUGAGAUGAUUUAUUGUGUUAUGUAAACCUGAGAGAUGUAUUAUGUGAUGUUAUAUGAUGGAUGAUUUUAAUUUGAGUUGGAGUAUUCUUGAUUUGAAUAUGAAAUAGUGUUGGAUUUAAUAUUGGACAAAUAAUUGGGUUGCAAAGGCCCAACAAAUAGAAAUGAAACCAAGUUCAGGAACAAAAAUUUGCUGAAUUCAAAAAUGAAAAAGGUCAAAACUGAAACUGGACCAAAUGUAUUUGGGCACUAAAAG
rnacentral:lncRNA from 1 species